GGGUGAGCACUUGGUGUCGG
rnacentral:misc_RNA from 1 species